rnacentral:rRNA from 1 species
AUUGAACGCUGGCGGCAGGCUUAACACAUGCAAGUCGAGCGGAGUGAUGGUGCUUGCACUAUCACUUAGCGGCGGACGGGUGAGUAAUGCUUAGGAAUCUGCCUAUUAGUGGGGGACAACAUCUCGAAAGGGAUGCUAAUACCGCAUACGUCCUACGGGAGAAAGCAGGGGAUCACUUGUGACCUUGCGCUAAUAGAUGAGCCUAAGGCGGAUUAGCUAGUUGGUGGGGUAAAGGCCUACCAAGGCGACGAUCUGUAGCGGGUCUGAGAGGAUGAUCCGCCACACUGGGACUGAGACACGGCCCAGACUCCUACGGGAGGCAGCAGUGGGGAAUAUUGGACAAUGGGGGGAACCCUGAUCCAGCCAUGCCGCGUGUGUGAAGAAGGCCUUAUGGUUGUAAAGCACUUUAAGCGAGGAGGAGGCUCUUUUGGUUAAUACCCAAGAUGAGUGGACGUUACUCGCAGAAUAAGCACCGGCUAACUCUGUGCCAGCCGCCGCGGUAA